UACAGAGGUCUCAAGCGUUGUUCGGAUUCAUUGGGCGUAAAGGGUGCGUAGGCGGCGCGGUAAGUCGGGUGUGAAAUCUCGGAGCUUAACUCCGAAACUGCAUUCGAUACUGCCGUGCUUGAGGACUGGAGAGGAGACUGGAAUUUACGGUGUAGCGGUGAAAUGCGUAGAUAUCAGGAGGAACACCGGUGGCGAAGGCGGGACUCUGGGCCGAUACUGACGCUGAGGAGCGAAAGCGUGGGGAGCAAACAGG
rnacentral:rRNA from 1 species